UGCUGUUUAUGAUGAUUGUUGUUAAGACAAUGGGAAUCUCUCUGAAUAAGAGUGAAAGACAUAUUUGUACUGAAACAGUA